GACGAACGCUGGCGGCGUGCUUAACACAUGCAAGUCGAACGGAAAGGCCCUGCUUUUGUGGGGUGCUCGAGUGGCGAACGGGUGAGUAACACGUGAGUAACCUGCCCUUGACUUUGGGAUAACUUCAGGAAACUGGGGCUAAUACCGGAUAGGAGCUCCUGCUGCAUGGUGGGGGUUGGAAAGUUUCGGCGGUUGGGGAUGGACUCGCGGUUUAUCAGCUUGUUGGUGGGGUAGUGGCUUACCAAGCCUUUGACGGGUAGCCGGCCUGAGAGGGUAACCGGCCACAUUGGGACUGAGAUACGGCCCAGACUCCUACGGGAGGCAGCAGUGGGGAAUAUUGCACAAUAGGCGGAAGCCUGAUGCAGCAACGCCGCGUGCGGGAUGACGGCCUUCGGGUUGUAAACCGCUUUCGCCUGUGACGAAGCGUGAGUGACGGUAAUGGGUAAAGAAGCACCGGCUAACUACGUG
rnacentral:rRNA from 1 species